UUUUCCUGGAUUUACAAGACAUUUGAAAUUGACCUGGCAAGCCUGUCUCUGUCUGAGCAUGAUCACAACAAAAGUAGCUGUGCAGCACGUUUUUUAAUGAAGAGGAGGAUGGUUGUAGACGUUCACAUUCCUGCAAGAAGGCACUGCAGAGGCUCAGAAGACACAUGGAAACUCUAAAACAAACAUAAUUCAACUUGUAGGCCAGAUUUGAAAAGGAAAUAAUAAAUCCCGAAGCUCAGAUGUCAGACACCGAGGCUGACAGUACCUCUGGGUCGAUAGUCCAUGUGUUGGAUGAUGCACCGCCGUUGAUCAGAACAG